CAGCAGUGAGGAAGGUGGGUAUGUUAAUAGCAUACUCAUUUGACGUUAGCUGCAGAAGAAGCACCGGCUAACUCCGUGCCAGCAGCCGACGGUAAUACGGGAGGGUGCGAGACGUUAAGUCGGUAAUUACGUGGGACGUAAAGCGCAUGCAGGUGGUUUAGUUAAGUCAGAUGUAGAAACGGCCCGGGGCUACAACCCGUACGGUAAUUGCUAUUUAGAAACGUGGACAAACUAGAGUACUGUAGAGGGGGUAGAAUUUCAGGUGUAGCGGUGAAAUGCGUAGAGAUCUGAAGGAAUACCGGUGGCGAAGGCGGCCCCCUGGACAGAUACUGACACUCAGAUGCGAAAGCGUGGGGAGCAAACAGGAUUAGAUACCCUGGUAG
rnacentral:rRNA from 1 species